UUGUGGGCAGGAAGAAAACAGGAGUGUUGCAAUCAGAGUGUUCACCUUUCUCCCCUGUGCUCGAUAAGGUUUUGGGAAAAUAGCAGCAUUCUUUUCAAAAGUCAGGUCAGCAGUCUCUCAGCACUCCGGUUUCCCAAUCCCACUUUGCAAAGUCAAAUAAAACAAAGCUCUUGGCUCAAAUUGAGUUAUCAGCAAACAUCUCCCUGCUCUCUGGAAGAAUGUGUUCUGUACCAAGAAUCUUCUGAAUUAACAUUUCCUGCUGGAAAAGCAGCUUAAUCUUUCAGUGAAGCAUGUGAUGGUAGACUUGAAGUCCGGGGUUUGGGGCUGUGUCUACUCAGUUGUCUUGGACAAGCAGCAGAAUUAUGGACUCGGCUUCUGGAGCCAUACUUUGUGGCUCUGAGUUGGCUCUGCCGCCAGGUAUAAACACUUGCAUAAUACAUGAACACAUAUGCAUGAAAUAAAAUGAAGCUGUCCAUAACGUUCCUCUAAAAUGCAGAAGAAAAUUUAAUUAAACGUAAAUGAGUCCACCCAAAGCAAGAAAUGCAGGUCCUUUGGUCUAAAUCGGCAUGUGGCAGCUUGGAAUGAGGAGGGUUUGGUUCAAGAAUUACCAUCUCACGGAAUCCACAUGAAGAAUAAGCUGCCCGUUGGUUACAUAUGUGCAGGGGACCUAGGUCCAGUCCAUGCAUGGUCCUUACUUGGUGCUUCAGACUCCGCAAGCCCACCUGGGCCCAGAGAUCAGACCUCCACUCUUGCCUGAUGCGUCCAAAACAAAAAGGGGGAACUGUAGAGAGCUGCGUAAUGCCGCGCCUCAAAGAUGGAGCUGGUUUCUGCCUUCCACCUUCCUGAUGGAGCCCACAGUUAAGAGACUUUGGAGUUCCAACAAUAUUUUAUUUUAUGUUUAUGAGUAUCAUGCCUGCAUGUAUAUCUGUGCACCACAUGCAUGCCUGGUACCUAUGGAAGCCGAAAGAACGUGGUGGAUCCCAUGAGACUGGAGUUACAGAGAGUUGUAAGUCACUAUGUGGGUUCCAGGAAUCAAACCCAGGUCUGGAAGAACAGCCCAUGCUCCUAUCAUCAGCCAUCUCUCCAGCUCGGAAUUAGAAUUUUAAAGAGAAAUUGGACUUGUAAAUUGUUAGAGUUUUAAAAUGACUGAAACUUUUACUGACUGUGGUUUUUAUUAUAAUAUUAACACAAGCUUUUUUUUUGGGGGGGAGAAAUUUAAAGCAGAUGGCUUAAAGAUGUUUGUGGGUCAAAGUGGACUAAAAGUGAGAAGUCAUAGAGUUGAUGGAUAUGACAAGGAAUUAGACAUAUCUGAGAAGAAAAAAUAUCAACAAAAGAAUCUCCUCUAUAACACUGAGCUGAGGGCCUGUCUCCAGGGCAUUUUAUUGAGUUAUGAUUGAUGUGUAAGGGCCCACCUAAUUGUGGUCAGUGAAAUCUCUGAGCAAGUGGUCCUAGACUGUCUAAUAAAGGUAGCCAACUAAGCCAGUACUCCCCCCUGGUCUCUGCUUCCUUUUGCUUCUGUUUUCAGGUUGCCCUGAGUUGCUUCCCUGACUUCCCAUAAUGGUGGGCUGUGAUGUGGAAGUAUAAGCUAAACAGGGCCUUUCCUCCCUGAGGCGCUUUGGGUCAUGGCAUUUAUCACAACAAUGGAAGGCAAACAAAGGCAAUUUAAAACAUACAAUUUGUUCAUUGUAGGUACAUAGACAAUUAACUUUUGUAUGUUGCUGUACUAAUUUAUUAGUCUAGAGAGAUUUUGUGGUAUAUUAAUUGGGAAGACUGAAGAAUAGUGAGGAGAGCCAAAACCUACCUAGGAAAGUAGAAUUUAGUUUUAGAGUGUGCUCAAGGAAUUUUGAAAUGGAAGCUUUUCCUUGCCAUGUACAGUUGUGCUCUUUGUUUUGUGUGUUUUAAUAUGAAAAUGUAUAAUGUUUCUGGAGGUAAAGCUCAUGAAUAUAUAAGGUUCCCCAUGUACCUGAGGCCCCAGAGGUUCCCCACGCUCAGGCUAGACCACACUCAACUCCAGCAAUGUGCCAAACGUUCUUGUUAAACAUUCCUACUGAUGACUCCAGUGGUUUCUGUUCUGGAUGACUCAAACUCAGUGACUGUUUGGAUUCAAGUUUGUUCAGGUUUGAAAUUGGCUGUGUACCUUACAACUUACCUACCAGAGUUUUCUUUAAUCAUUGAUUUCACUGUUUUUCAGGUUUUGUAUCAUUAUAAGAUUACAAAUGUUGACUUUCAAUAUUUUUUAUAUUGAACUAGACUCUCCCAAUUCAACUUCUUUGUUUGUACUUGGAUUUGCAGUUGUGCCAGCAAUAUUUGCUGAUUUAUUUCUCUCGAUUGGCAUUCUUGUGAAAACACUGAUCCAUAGAUGUAAGGGACUAUUCCCACGUUCUCAAACUUAGUCUAUUGAUCUGUGACUAUGUCAGGACCAUAUUCUCUUGAUUACAGUGGAAUGUAGUCAGGUUUGAAGUAGCUUUCCAAGAUAGGCUGUUCUGAUUCCUUGCAUUUCCAUUGGAACUUUAAGAGAGCAUGUCGAUAUCAGCAAAGAAACCAGAUGAGAUUUUAAUGUUGUCUUCAUCAAGUUUGUCACUGAACCAGAAAGUCUUCCUAUUUCAACAGCAUAAGUGCUUGAACUCUUUUCUUCAUUUGUUCCUUUCCAUAUAUUUCACUUCUUUUGUUAAAUGUAUUUCUAAAUAUUUUAGUUAUUUUGAUGGGUGGGAUUGGGAGGAAACAAAGGAGGGGAGGGCCCACAGCGGGGAUACAAAUUGAAUAAAUUGUAAUAAAUGAUAAUAAUAAAAAAAAGAAAAGAAAAAAGAAGAAAAUGGCUGAUUGAAGACAUUGUCAAAGGAGUCAAAAGGAAGUGGGGCAAAGCUGACACACUAGUUUUGAGAAACCUUACAGUUUUUCUUCAUCAGGGAACAGGGGUGUAACAAUGAAAGAGCACGUGAGCUAUACACUUUAAAGCUGUUAAUGGAAAGCCAACAUCUGCUUGAGGGAAUCCUUGACAACUUUGAUUUCUCUGUGAUGUAGGGAGUGAAUGAUUGAAGGGAAGGGUUUGAAAAGAGUGGCAAAGUUUGAAAUAAUUAUUUGGAAAACUAUUUGGAACCUGGGAAUUAAAGUAAGUCUUUAACAUGGAAACUCUGUAAUAAAAAUUCUCUGAAGUCAUCUUUAUACAAAGGAUUUUAUUUAAAGAGAAUAGAGAAUUCUCUGGAGUCUCCUUGCAGCAAAUUUCCAUUAUUGCUGAGGCAACUGCAAUCAGACCUGAGUGAAGGCAGAUGUAUGAAGGUUCCUUGGUGUGCUCCUACCUUCUGGUGAGCUGGCCAAGAAAGCCUAAGGAAAUUUUUAAUUAAGCUUGUGUGUACUAUUCUAUUAUCAAAGCCCAUUCGACUUUGUCCUCCAGCAGUCCCAGUCACUUCCUGAGCUCCUUAUCAUCUCUGAAAUGUAUCAGGGAGAAAAUGACUUCUCCCCAGACCCCUGAUGGGGACAAUAAGCCUGACUCUGGCCUGGACAGGACGAUCCUAAUCCUGCUUCAGGGCCUGAAGAGAAAACCCUGGAAUGUGUUCUUUGACUAAAAACUGAAAUUCCAGCGUAUACAUGAGCUCUUGGAAUAGAUGCCUUAACUCUGGGCAGGUAAGGUUUGUGACUUUGAAUACAGAAGGGUUAUGGACUGGGUAUCAUGAUCUUUCACUCACAUUUGUAUAUUAAAACUCUGACCCUAUGGAGGUGGUGCUUGUAGAUGGGCUUUUUUGAGGUAGUUGAGGAUUAGAUAAGGUUCUGAAGGUGAGGCUCCCUCUGUCCGUGCACACACAGGGGUAACAUGUUCACAGACUAAGAAGCUGCCUACAAGCCCAGAGGAGAGACUACAGAGUGAGCACUGGCCUGCUCACACCUUGCUUUUGGGUUUCUAGUCUUUAUAAUUGAGAAACUAGUUUUCUACUUUUAAAACCAUCUAGUUUAUAGUCUUCCGAAGUGCCAUCCUGAGCUGAAAGAGAACGCAGGAUUUGCUAAGUACCAGCUAUGCUUGAGGCAUCCUUCGUCAUUUAGUUACUGAGACAGUGCUAGGAGGUGCCAGUUGUUUCCAGACGAUUGCAAGGUCACCGUAAACCUGUCUCAUUGUAAGGUUGGAAUCUUACUAUUUAUUCUUUAAGAUAAUAGUUAAAAUGAUGGCAAGUUCUGGACUUGGCACAUCAAAUGUUUCUUAGAAUUUUAUUUUUAUUAUUUUUAAUCAUGUGUGUGCGCACACAUAUGAAUAUACAGAAAUAAGUGAGUGCAGGUGCCUGUGGAAGAUCCUCCUGGAGGUGGAAUUACAGGCAGUUGUGAGCCACCUGACAUGGGCACAGUUACAAAUUGUAUGUUUCCUCUGGGUACAGCCUGGUUAACAAGGAGUUUAGUUGUUUUCCAUUUUCACUAUUUUGAAUAAAUGUUCUUUUGUAAGAAGUAAAUUGAGAGUUUGUAAUGGAGGUUCAGUGUAAGAAGACUUCAGAGAAUUCUCAGCUCUUUUAAAAUGGAAUCCAUUGUCUAAAGAUGACUUUGGAGGGUUGUUAUUAGACAGUUUCCAUGUUAAAGGAGUACUCUAAUUUAUCUUUUUCUCACUUUCUAGAGCAGACUCUCAAUACUAUUGUCUGCUUGUCUUGAUUGUUGUCCCUUGUUCACUCAGAUGCUGAUUUCUCUCCCCCACUAUCUGGUUUCAAUCCGGACAUUGCAUUGUGAUGCUUAUUCUAAUCAUGACCUGUCUCAAGUUUGUGUAAAUAUGCCACAAUUUGUUCUUCAACUUGUCAACUAAAACAACCAGCCCACAAUGUUGAGCAAUGGAGAGGAUAGGGUGGGGCAUCCUGGUUAAGAGUGGGAGGAAGAAGGAAACAGGAGAAGAGGAAGGAGUAUAAGGGAGGAGAGGAGAGAAGCAGGGAGAGAGCAGAGGCUGGAGGAGAGGUCUUGGAAUGACAUGGAGAAAUGAACUGGACCUAAGAUAUCACUAAAAGCAAGUAUAAUGGGUGAAUCUGAAUGGUAGGAAACUAUGCGGGCUUGGAGGUUUAGGAUGGAGUAACUAUUGCCCAGCAUUGUGUUCUAGGUUAACUAAAUAAAUCUUAGUCUCUGUGUGGUGAUUUGGUUAAAGAGCUGUUUAGGAUUAACCACAGCUUUACUAAAAGAUAUAUCAAUAGUAAAUAUUAAUUACCAAAUACAACAAAUUCUGUAGGUCUCUGAACCUUGUUUUGAAUACAACACUAUACCCUCCAUAUGCUCUGCUUAGUGCUCUGUGUUUUGGUUUUUAGCAUUCCUGAGUAUUUACCUGGAUGACCCAAGUCAGUGUAUCAUAGAUGCCUAAUCUUCAGUGUUUAUCACAGCAUUAGUACCAUCUGAAUGCCUCAAGGACAGGAAUGGAGCUGGUCCCCGAAUCAGUAGUGGCCUCCCUUAGCUGUGGGAAGUAUACCUGAACGCAAUUAGGAUUAGGGUUUGGGUUAGGGUUAGGGUUAGGGCCAGGGUUACUGUACUCUCUACAGUAGCCAAGUUAUAGAACUAACCUUGGUAUCUACUCAGAGAGGAAUAAAGAAAACAAUGUGGUCCAUAUACACAGUCAAAUAUUUUUCGGCCAUAGAGAAGAAUGAAGUGAUAUUAUUUGCAGGAAAAAGGAGGCAACUAGAGAACAUGGUCAGUAAACUGUCAAUGUCAGAGAAAGAAAUAUGUUUAUCUCAUUUGUGCUUCUUAGACUUUAUGGUUUUAUAAAAUCAUAAUUAUAUGAGGACGUGAAUUAAAAGUGAAACCAAUUGGGAGACAUAGGGGACUAAUAGGAGGAGGGCUAGAGAAGGGAGGGCAAUGGGGUGUGGGAGGGAGUGUGAUCAAAGUGCAGUGAGCACUUCGUGAGAAUGACCUAUGGAACCCAGAAUAAUAUAUAAAUAGAUUAUUAUAAAAUAAUCAUAAUGAAAACUGGCCAUGCUAGUCCACUCUAAGUGGAGAGUCCAGUGGUACUAAGUACUUUCACUUUAUUGAAUAAGCAUCACCACCAUCCAUCUUUAGAUCCUUUUCAUUACCCCAAAUGUAAUGAUUGUAUUUAGUAAACACAACCAGUCCAUUGCAAUCUCCAGGCCAUUCUGUGUCAGAGUCUAACUACUCCAGGUACAUCAUAUAGUUGGAGUUAUAUGAUCUUUGAUCUUACAUGUCUGGCUUAUUUUACCUAGCAUUGUGUUCUUACCUAUCAGUGGACUAGGGGAGGGGCAUAGAUGGAGAAGGGGGACUGGGAUCAGAUGAGGGAGGGGGCUACAGCCGGGAUACAAAGUAAACAAAUUGUAAUAAAUAUUAAUAAAAAUAAACAAAAAUAAAAAGCAUAUCAUAGUAGGAAUGUCUUCAGAUUUGCAACUGGAAGUGGAUUUGGGGGUCAAUUCUUUGAGAUUACCUUUAGUAAUAAAUUAUGAGAAUUCAAUGGAGAAAAAGAAAAGAUUAAUCCAUGAUGCAGUGUGUAUCUUUUUCAUUUUUUUUGGCUAAAGCUGCAACACACACACACACACACACACACACAAAUACACAUUUGUUUAUGAGUUCUUCUGUCAAUGAACUUUUAUGUUGUUUAUACCCAUUGGCUAUUAUGAGUGAUUCUGUUAUGGUAUGUGUUCUAUGACAUUAUUCUUGGGGAGAUGUGAACAAAUCUUUACUCCCUAGAAAGGAAACCAAGAGCCCAAAUACUGCUAAAGUUCAACUUGGUGAACUAAUGAAUUUUAUUGGGAUUAUUUCUAGGAAUAUGGGUGAGGGGUUACUUAUAGAAUCAAAAGUUACAGAGACAGCUGCAUCACCAAAAGCCCACCCAGCAUGGGUGACAAUUCACAAAUUUUGGAAAUCAUGGGUAUAUUCCACAACCUCUACGAAACUCAAUAGGUUGAAGAACAUUCUUUGUAGAUAGUUCAGUUGGUCUCAUCCUCUUCUGGUCUCAGCACACUUGAGGGUGACUCUCAGCAGUCCUUGCUGGUCAUAUAUGCUUGUGGAGAGAGGAUCCUAUUGAAUCUAGUUAAUUUCAGGGACUUCCUGUAGCUGUUUUGAGUUGUAUAAGGCACUUAUGGAGCUUUCUUGUAGGAUGGAUUAUUUCAGCUCCCCAUAGGACAUCCUGAUGUUUAACCUCCCUGCAAAUAUCCUGGGUCUUAAUCUACUCUCUAAGAUGGCAGGUUUUAAUCUUGGUGGAAACUGCUUUAUAACAGUGUGCAAAUAUCUUUCUGAGUCCCUGUUCUCAAUUCUUUUGGAUACAUACUUAGAAGUGUAAUUGAUGGAUGCUAUGAUGCUACUGUAUUUAAUGUCUUUUAAAGAACUGCUGCAUUGUUUUCUACAAUUCUUGUACCAUUUUGCAUUCCCAUAAGCCAUAAAUGAACGUUCAAAUUUCUCUGUACUGUGCCAAUGCUUCACUAUAAUAUUUUUGAAAAUAUCUAUAUUACAAAAAAAAUAAAGUUCAAAAGUAUUAUAUCACUUGCUCAAAGUAACAGUAUGAAUGUGUGGAAACAGUAAGCGUGGAGUUGUUUCAGCUUUUUUUUUUUUUUGGGAAAAUUAAAGAAUCUGUAUUCUUUGA